CAGGUAUUUGGAAAACAAAGAAAAAAGUGCUUAAUUUUUCUGGAGAGAUUUUUGGGGGCAAAUUUCACAAGGGAGGUGAUGCCUGAGAUGAGCCUGGGAAGAUGACUGAGGAGCUACCAGGUGGACAAGCCAGAGAUGGCAAGGGCUGUACAUCCUGACAUCGAGUCUGCUUGGGGGCCAGACUCAGAUGACAGGGAGAGGCAGGAGGGGUUGGGUGUCAUUCCAGGAGGGCCUGGGCUGAUAUAAACAGUCAGACUUUACCAUAUAUAUGAUGGGGAUUUUCAAUAAGGUCGUGACAAGAUUCACGAUUUAAAACAUUCUGGGGCAGUGGGGAGGUGUGCCUGGGGGCAGAGGGAUCUUCUGGAAGAUGAUUAUGAUUGUCCAUCAGGAAUCCUUAGGAGAGGAACUAAGACAAUGGGGUAAGAAUGAAGAAAAAGGGAGUUGAGACAAACUUAGGAAACUGCUCAGAUUCGAAGCAUAAGGGUGACAGAAGUGUAAAGAAUGGCUCCCCAUUUCCUCUCUGAGAGAAGAAAUAGAAGUAGCAGUUUUUAUGGGGGCCCUGGGGUGGGUGUGGGCAUUCACUAUCUUCGAUUUCAGACCUCUUGAGUUUAAGGUGCCUUAGAGAGCUGGAGGUAGAUAGCAGGACUGAAAAGCUGGGUAUAGAUUCAGGAGUUGUUGGCUGGUGGAGGUGCAGCUGGAUUCAUGGGCCUUGAAGGCACUGCCCAGGGAGUAAUUUAUAAUAUUACUCUUAAUAAUGUAUCUUUUGUGAUUUACCUUGAAUCUAGAUAGAAGUGCAGUUAUAUUUCUUCACACCAUCAAGGAGACCUAAUUGUCUCCAGUCAUUGAUAAGAUAAAUGAUGGGAGAGGGUGGGGUGCUCAAAAGUCAGUCUUUUCUGGGGACACAGGUCAGUGUGUCUCUCCUGGGUCCCUCUGUGCCACAGCUACUCCUCUUAAAUCUUGAUUCCAGGGCUUCAGAAGCUGAUGGCAUAGUUAUGAGAGGGGUGAAGACUGCGACUGCAUUUCCAACAGACCCUGAGGACAAUUGGGAAGAAUGAGGAGCAGUGUCAACAGUCCUAGCCAGCUGUUGCUGAAGGGCCCAACACCAAAUCCCAGCUGAAGAACAGCUUCUCAUCUUUUGAGACACAGCACAGGGUGAUGGGCAUGGAGCUCUUCCACACUCCCCACAGUCUGACUUAGCUCUCUCCGUUGUGCCCUCCUGGCACCCUGCUCGUAUUUUAUUGUGGCACCUAUAUCGCUGGAUCUCACUCACUGGUUUGCACUCCUGUAUCCCCUUUGAGGGAACAAAUCCCAUGCCUCUGCAAUCCCAGGAUCUGAUACUGAGAUAGACACUAAACAGAUAUUUAAAAAUUUUUGAUAAUCAAUGAAUGGACAAGGAGAAUAAAUAAUAUGAAAGAUGAAAUAAAGAAAUAAAAGUAUUAAUGAGAGUAUAAACAUAUCCAGAUUGGGCUGGGUGCGAUGGCUCAUGCCUAUAAUCCCAGCACUUUGGGAGGCUGAGGUGGGAGGAUCACUUGAGGUCAAGAGUUCGAGAGCAGCCUGGCCAACAUGGCGAAACCCUGUCUCUGCUAGAGAUACAAAAAUUAGCUGGGUGUGGUGGUGUGUGCUUGUAAUCCCAGCUACUUGGGAGGCUGAGGCAGGAGAAUCACUUGAACCUGGGAGGCGGAAGCUGCAGUGAGCUGAAAUUGCACCAGCCUGGGUGACACAGUGAGACUCUGUCUCAAAACAAAACAAAACAACAACAACAAAAAAAAAAAAAAAAGAAAGAAAGAAAAAAAGAAAUCCAGAUAGACUAUUAUGUCUUACUGUUCUUUUUCAUUCAUACCAAAUGGGAAAGAAUUUCCUGUCAAUGCUGGCAGUCUCUGGCUAUCAUGUGGCAGCAUCCGGGAAGGACCUUUGAGGCCACGCUCUUUCCCUCAGGGGACAGUGAGGUGCGUUGUCCAUGGCACCGAUGGGUUUUUCUCUGGGUAGCAGGAGGUUCCACAAUUCCCCAGCCCCAUUUCCUUUUAAGUCAUUCUGGUUAUCAUUUCAGUUGAAAGAAUUGGAGCUACUUUUCACUUGGGAGAACAUAAUAAAAAUCACUUAUUCAGUACUAAAUUAGGAUGGACAGCCUUUCUCUUGGGAAGAAAAGCAAUAACAGAUCACAAUAAUGAGAUUGUGCAACAAGCUUUGAAAAUGCUUAUACUACAUUUAUAUGAAACAGUAUUUGCUUACACUUCAGAUAUGGCUGUCGAUUUAUGGUUCAGAGCCAUGGAGCAGGUAAUAAAUAUGACUGUGACAACUUUCUGAAAUCAUUUUUAUUACUUUUUAAAAAUAAAAAUACUAUUUGCUGUUCAAUUCCUAUUAAACUAUAGCUUCUAAAAUACUCAACUUUGGAUUUUCAAAAUCAAUUCUGGAAGGAUGUAGUCCAUAAUGCUAUAAUUCAUUUUUCAAAGUACAUAGCAUCACUGAUGCAGUGUGCUCUAAAAACUUGUGUUCCAAGCAUGAUAAUGAUUUUUAGUCCAUAUCAUUGAUAUUGACUUUACUAG
rnacentral:lncRNA from 10 species